rnacentral:rRNA from 1 species
GAUGAACGCUGGCGGCGUGCCUAAUACAUGCAAGUCGAGCGAACGGACGAGAAGCUUGCUUCUCUGAUGUUAGCGGCGGACGGGUGAGUAACACGUGGAUAACCUACCUAUAAGACUGGGAUAACUUCGGGAAACCGGAGCUAAUACCGGAUAAUAUUUUGAACCGCAUGGUUCAAAAGUGAAAGACGGUCUUGCUGUCACUUAUAGAUGGAUCCGCGCUGCAUUAGCUAGUUGGUAAGGUAACGGCUUACCAAGGCAACGAUGCAUAGCCGACCUGAGAGGGUGGUCGGCCACACUGGAACUGAGACACGGUCCAGAAUCCUACGGGGGGCAGCAGUAGGGAAUCUUCCGCAAUGGGCGAAAGCCUGACGGAGCAACGCCGCGUGAGUGAUGAAGGUCUUCGGAUCGUAAAACUCUGUUAUUAGGGAAGAACAUAUGUGUAAGUAACUGUGCACAUCUUGACGGUACCUAAUCAGAAAGCCACGGCUAACUACGUG